rnacentral:tRNA from 1 species
GCACUCGUAGCUCAGCUGGAUAGAGCAUCAGCUUGCGGAGCUGAGGGUCGCAGGUUCAAAUCCUGCCGAGUGCA